rnacentral:rRNA from 1 species
UGAACUAGGGACAACUUCCGUUACCCCUACUAUGUUACGACUUAUCUCAUUUUUUAACGAGAGCGACGGGCGAUGUGUGCACGCCUCAGAGCCAUAAUUCAAAGAAUUUAUAUUUUAAAUUCUUUACUUUCAAGUCCUCCUUCCUGUAUAUAUUGCAUUAAUACAUUUCGUAAUUAUAAGUGUUAAUUGUAACCCAUUCUCUCCUUUCUAUAGGCUGCACCUUGAUCUGACGUGAAAGUUUAUAGUAACUUUAUUGCUAACGCCUAAUUUCUAAAAAGUUACCUGACGACGACGGUAUACAGACUGAAAACCAAGAAAGGUGAGGUCUAGCGUGGACUGUCGAUUAUGAAACAGGUUCCCCUGAGGGGUCUAAGGCACCGCCAAGUUCUUUGAGUUUUAAACAUAAUGGUUCAUAGUACUCAGGUAGGCUUAAAUAUCCAGUUUAUAUUUAAGAAUAGUGGGGUAUCUAAUCCCAGUUUCCCUCUUAAAUUUUAUAGCGUCAACGCUUAAGAAUUUUUAUUUGAAUUAAAAGUAAUUUAAAAAUUUUACCUUAAUAACUACUCUCAUAUAAAUAUAGUAUAAGUUUAACUAUCUUUUUUACCUAAAAUAACAACUUGAUCUCUAGGUGUAACCGCGGCUGCUGGCACCCAGUUGACCAGACCUCUUAACUAAACUAAUGCGCACUGACAUACAUAUAUUAAAAUUCAACACUGGUGUUAGUGAAGCUUAUUAAACAUUAUGUCGUUAUAAUAUUUAAGGCUUAAAGUUAAUAAAGAGAAUAAAUCUUACUUUUUAUCUUUUAGCCUCCUCACCACAAUCAAAAGAAACCAUGUGUAAUCGUUUGCUAAUGUUGUUAUAGUAGAUCAGAACCAAGUCUUUUAUUAAAAAAUUGUUCUGAGAUAUUUUUUGAAAAAUAAAUUAAUAAAAGAUUUUUUUGUAAAUU